CAGUGCUCUAUAGAGUUGUUUUGAGGGAAGGAGUUGAAACAGUUUAUGUUCGGGAUGCGAGGGGUCUGUAAAUAUUUUCGGGCAGUAUACAGGUCCUCGAUUGAAGGCAGACGAGAUGCCACAGGAAUUCAGAUGAGAGUACAGGUGGUGAGAGUUGCCAACAGAAAGGGAGGACGGAGCAGUGCGGUAGCUCGCAAAAUGGAAGUGUCGAACUAUCUAAUUCAGCGCAUUGAAAAAUCUUAUUAGGAAUAAUAAAAGAGAACCUUAGCAAAGCAGACAUCUACAUGGAAUCACAGCAGCAACAAUACUAUUCGUCCAAACUUGGAAAACAAAGGAAAUUCCAAAUGACAAUGCUAUAAUAAAG
rnacentral:lncRNA from 1 species